CGCCACUCACCAAAUGUGCAUUCCUUUAAGUGGCCCAGCAUGGUCUUUAUUCAUCUUUCUUCUCCAUCGGCUUCCAGGCUCUGGUCUUGUCAUUUUGAGUCUCCAAUAUUAUUUAAUAAAGAUACAAUUAAUUAUGGCUAGCCCAGUGCCACAACUCACACAAUUAUCAUCAAGAUACGUAGGCUAAUACAUCUUGUUCAAGAUGCAAUACUAAUGUGCAUUACCAAAUAAAAUUGUUAGGAAUUUUGUCCCUUAUAUACAGUACACACAUAUGCUGAAAUACUAAGGCUACCAGCUAGUAGUUAUAUUGUUAUAUUGUAAUUCAAUAUGCAUGGGGGUCUCGACUGAAGUAAAUGAUGUGAUAAACUUGCAUGACUAAUACUAAAAGAUAACGCUAUUUUACUUAGUUAGCUCUUGCAAACACAAACGCAACUUUUCCCUGUGAGUUUGUACAAGCUCCCUGGCAAAACCAUAUGACGUAUAUUUGCUCCCUGGCAACUACCUAAUCAACCCUGUUUUGCGUUUAUUUCAAAGAACAUAUUGGACGACCUUACUUGAAAUGUUAUUGGACGCCAGUCAAAGACCCACGUGAAAGACGAUUGGAAUUAAAAUUGAGGUCAUUGCUUUGCUGAUGCUGACGAUGAGUGAUCCACGCGGAUCCUUGCCACAGAUAGUUUGAAUUUGCUAAGAAGAUAAGAAUCAUAAUCAACUGAAUACACUGUGAACGAUUACAUUUUCGUACCCCAAGGUGAAAUAAUAUCAUUUUCAGGGCUAUAUCAAAAUGGAAAAUGAUAGCGUGCUGUUGUAUUUCUGCUGCAUGUAGCUACAGUAAUAUAACUACAACCGGGUUAGCAGCUAAGAAGAAUUGUCCUCCAUAGAGACAAAGGUUUUCCACAAAGAAAGUGCAGGAUAUGUCUCCAGAAUUGGACCCAAAUGAGCAUUCUGGACAUUUUGCUUUUGUGAGGUUUGAGAAUGGAUGCACUGCAAAAAUCUUCCAAACAUCUGAUAUUCUAGGUGAAGAGGCAGUUCCUAUCAGACAGCUGCAAGAUCUUAGGUCAGGAGUAACCAUUCUAGCCAAGUGGUCAGACGGCAGAUUUUACAA
rnacentral:lncRNA from 13 species